UCAAAAUUGAACAUCAAACCGCUUAGCGCUUUCUUCUGCUCAGUGGCGUCGACACGACCCCGACAACGACGGCGACCGCAACAUCCGAUGGCACUGCCGACUCCGUAAGUUCCGCACUCCUCCGCUGCUCAUUUUUUUGUUGAUUUUGUGUAGGAUGAACUUUGGUUUCAUUAAUUUAUGUUAUUUGUCAUAGUCCUUGAAAGAUAAAGGAGAGUUUGAAUUCGAGGGUGUUUUAUUAUGAAAUUGAAAAAAGUAAUCUUUUUCGAGCUGAAUUCGAGGGCAACAAUGAUGAACGCAGCAAGAUUUGUCUGUGGGGUUUAACGGUAGGGGAUAACAAAUUGUAGAGAGAGAAGAUGUGAUGAUGGAUCAGACUUGAAUCUAAUGAAGAAGGAUGGGUUUAAUGAGUCCGACACCCCAAAUACUUGAAACUUUUUGAAGAAUUAUUUCUCUAUUUUGGUUUUUGAUUAUCUUCAUUAUUUAGUUCAUAAGAAAUCUGAGUUUUUUUAAUAAUUAUUUUAGCAUAACACAAAAACGACGUAGUUUUAUGUUCCGGCUGCCUAGUCACGCUUCCGGCUGCCACAUAAAAUAAGUUUAUGCCGGAAAAAUUCAGGGUCGGGUCAUUCGAGAAAUUUGCACAACCGGCAAAGUUUGUGAUUUUUCGUGCAACUUUUAAAGUUCACGGGAAAUUCGAGCAUUUUGUGAAAGUUCACGAUUUUAGAGGCAGUUUACCCUUUAAAAAAACUCUUAUUAUGGGCAGUAUUUUUCUUUAAAAAAACUAAGUUUGAUUCUCUUCUUUAAAAACAAAAAGUUCUAAAUAAAGGUUUAUUUCUUGCUACAUUUAAAAGUUCCCCAUUGCAUAUAGUGAUAUAGUAUUAGCGAAGGUUUGCUAUUUAAAAAUUUCCCAAAUGACACAUAUAGUAAAUACUAUAGCAAAACAUCAUAAAAAAUCAAUACUUUAAAGCCCCUUCUUUAAAAACAAAUAGCAUAAAAAAGUUAAACUUUUAGUUAUUUGAAAGGCAAGUGAGGUUCAUCUUCCUAAAUUUCCAUCAAGAAAUAAAAAAACCAUCUUCCUAAAUUUCCAUCAAGAACUAAAAAUAUCCUAAGUGACGGUUAAUCUUUCUAAAUUUCCAUAUAAUUAAAUUAAUUUGAUUGGAAAUACAUGCAAAAGUGUAAAAGAUGGGAAUUUUAAAUAAAAAUUCCUAAGCUUCAAUAGGGUUCUCGAUCCUUUUUCCCAAAGCCCAUUAAAAUCAGACAAAAAUCUAAGUAAGUUUACCUGUUAUUGAGAGAGAGAAAAAUACUCCAAAAUUUUCGGGAGAGGUCAGUUAUCGGAAAGUAUUGCUAAGUUCAUCUUCUUGAGUGUAAAAUUCUAUUUCCUCUAAUAUUCUACUAAUAUGUUAUGAAAAAGGUUAAAAUACUAACGGUGUUAAAAGAAUUUUAACAGCCUGUAUUAGUUUAAAACACAAAUAAAAAUUCUUAUACUAUUCAAGUUAACUAAAAACCUUUGUACUAAUUUGAAAUAUUGAUGAAACAUUUUGUAUGUAUAGUGCAAUUUUUUCUUAUAAUUACGUGCGCACUGCGCGCAUUAUGUUUUUAUAAUUAUUAGUUUUUUGUAUCAAUUAUAAUAAUUUGGUUUUAAUUCAGUUAAUUAGAUAUUGAUUACAAUAAUUAAUACGGCGUCUCAUCGAGGAGCACUACACUCCCUACAGACUUAUAUAGUUAUAACAUCCUACUGAUAUGAACCGUUAGAUAUACAGAUGUGGGGUUGUGAUUUCAUCAACUGAGAUUGCAUUUUUUAGCAUUUUCGUUGCAUUAAAGGGUAAAUUAGUCAGUUCAUGUAUUUAACCCACUCUCCUAAUAUGAGGCGCAAGAUUUCAGGGACCAUUCAAUUACACGAUCCGUCUGCUCAUUCAACUCCUAUCAAACCUUUCCACUCUCUUUCCAAAUCAUUCAACUUGUCAAUUUCGUUCCGCCGCGUUCACUUCCGAAAACCUCCAAAUACACAUUCUCAAUUCAAAACCCUAACCCAAUCCCGCCGCUCACCACAGUUCGGGCAACAUCAAAGUCUAGCAAUUUCAUCAACAUAGCAUAAACUGCUUCCAUCAACCAACCACCAAUUCGAUAAAUGUCUAAAAGACGAGAAAUUCCGAACACCACAGAGCCUGAUGUCGAAGAAUCUUCGCGAAUUGUUCACAAGCGAUGGAAAGGAAAGCAUCCAGCUAAUGUACACCAACAGUGUUGCUGCCAGUAGAGUGGACGACUGCAACAAACAAGGUCGACAGUGGAGUGUACAUAAUGAGGCACAUGGAGACAUACAUGGGCCAAAAAGCAAAUGAAUGGAAGUGCGGACUUACUCCUAGAAGCGCUUUGUCAUUGCAAUACUUGAGGGCCAAAAUAAGCAAAGAGCUGCUAUUUGGGAAUUCAAACGCAGUGAUGUAUAAAAUCCUGCAUCUUACCCAACCUUGCAAUGAGGAAGGGAAGAAGAAGGGGCCAAUUUAUAUUGAGAAAAUGAUAGAAAUGUACUCUAAAUAGUGACACACGAGAGUUCAUGGUUUUCAAUCACUUGCUUUUUCUGUUGGAUACAAUGUUGUGAAGCAACUUUUUACUGUACAAUGCAAUUGAUACUUGUUGAAUGUGCAA